rnacentral:rRNA from 1 species
GACGAACGCUGGCGGCGUGCCUAACACAUGCAAGUCGAACGGAGAUAUGAUUUCGGUUGUAUCUUAGUGGCGAACGGGUGAGUAACGCGUGAGCAACCUGACUCUUAGAGGGGGAUAACACUCGGAGACGGGUGCUAAUACCGCAUAAGACCACGACAUGGCAACAUGACGAGGUUAAAGGAGCAAUCCGCUGAGAGAGGGGCUCGCGUCCCAUUAGAUAGAUGGCGGGGUAACGGCCCACCAUGUCAACGAUGGGUAGCCGAGCUGAGAGGCUGAUCGGCCACACUGGAACUGAGACACGGUCCAGACUCCUACGGGAGGCAGCAGUGGGGAAUAUUGGGCAAUGGGCGCAAGCCUGACCCAGCAACGCCGCGUGAGGGAAGAAGGCUUUCGGGUUGUAAACCUCUGUCCUUGGUGACGAAACAAAUGACGGUAGCCAAGGAGGAAGCCCCGGCUAACUACGUGCCAGCAGCCGCGGUAAAAC